rnacentral:rRNA from 1 species
GAUGAACGCUGGCGGCGUGCCUAAUACAUGCAAGUCGAGCGAACGGAUGAGAAGCUUGCUUCUCUGACGUUAGCGGCGGACGGGUGAGUAACACGUGGAUAACCUACCUAUAAGACUGGGAUAACUACGGGAAACCGUAGCUAAUACCGGAUAAUAUAUUGAACCGCAUGGUUCAAUGGUGAAAGACGGUCUUGCUGUCACUUAUAGAUGGAUCCGCGCUGCAUUAGCUAGUUGGUAAGGUAACGGCUUACCAAGGCAACGAUGCAUAGCCGACCUGAGAGGGUGAUCGGCCACACUGGAACUGAGACACGGUCCAGACUCCUACGGGAGGCAGCAGUAGGGAAUCUUCCGCAAUGGGCGAAAGCCUGACGGAGCAACGCCGCGUGAGUGAUGAAGGUCUUCGGAUCGUAAAACUCUGUUAUUAGGGAAGAACAUAUGUGUAAGUAACUGUGCACGUCUUGACGGUACCUAAUCAGAAAGCCACGGCUAACUACGUG